rnacentral:sRNA from 2 species
GUGAUUAUGAUAUAAUGUUCUUUACAGAAAAGCUAAGACGGUGGCUCUGAUUUCUGAAAGGUGGUGAUGCCUAUGGGCAAUGCAUCAAAAUCCAACUGAAAGGAGCGUUUUAUUGUCUACUUACGAGGCCCUUCAACUCAUGCUGGCUUUUGGUAGUUUCUUACUUACCUUAAUCAGCUUAG